rnacentral:rRNA from 1 species
GACGAACGCUGGCGGCGUGCCUAAUACAUGCAAGUCGAACGCAGUGGGGACGGGUGAGUAACACGUGGGUAACCUCCCCUCAGAGGGGAUAACCCUUGGAAACAGGUGCUAAACCGAUAUUGAUGGAUGGACCCGCGGUGCAUUAGCUAGUUGGGGAGGUAACGGCUAACCAAGGCCACGAUGCAUAGCCGACCUGGGGGGGUGAUAGGCCACCUGGGGACUGAGACCGGGCCCAGACCCCUACGGUGGGCAGCAGUAGGAAUCUUCGGCAAUGGACGAAAGUCUGACCGAGCAAUGCCGCGUGAGUGAAGAAGGUCUUCGGAUCGUAAAACUCUGUUGUUAGAGAAGCGGUAUCUAACCAGAAAGCAACGGCUAACUACGUGCCAGCAGCCGCGGUAAUUC